GGUUUGCUUUCUUCGUUGCGGUCCCGGGGAAGGGUCCGACAAGUGCGGGAGGGUUUGGGUGCUCGCCCUGGAUCGGCGCCAUUCUUCCUCUGCUAGAUCGGCACUCAGCUGGCUCGGCGCAAUCUAGGUAGAUGGAUGCGAUCAGGAAACAGGCUAGCAAAUUUCGGGAGCAAGUCGCCAAACAGCAACAGGCUCGUUUCCAUCCAGGAUUGGGAGAUUUGCUCACGAUUUGGAUUGGUGGUUCGCAGGCGGUAUUCAAACAAUUCUCGCAAGGAUAUGGCGGCUCUCAAGGGACCGACAUUGUGACGAACGAGGCGGAGCAGCAGAGGCAUCAGCAGCUGGAAAGAUUAUUUAUAUCUACACGCGCUGGCAAGCAUUUCCAAAGAGAAAUAGUGCGUGGAACUGAAGGACUGAUCUCUACUGGAUCCAAGCAGCUUGAUGUUUCCACCAAGCUUGCGGAGGAUUGCCGAAAGUAUGCCGCUGAAGGACCAGCUCCGAAUGGGGCCCUUGCAAAGUCGGCUACGUACUUUGGAAAUGCUCGACUCAAUAUUGAGAAGGAGAGAGAUAGCAUGCAUCGAGCACUUGGUACUCAGGUUGCUGAGCCUUUGAGAGCGAUGGUGAUGGGAGCACCUUUGGAAGACGCGCGGCACUUGGCACAACGCUAUGAUCGUCUGCGCCAGGAGGCUGAAGCGCAGGCCCAGGAGGUUACUCGAAGAAGGUCGAAAGAGACCGGCCUCAAUGCAGACAACGCCUUGAAACUGCAAAUGGCCGAAUCGAAACUGACAGAGCUUAUGGCAGCAAUGACAGAGCUGGGAAAAGAAGCCGCUGCGGCGAUGACUGCUGUUGAAGCUCAACAGCAGCGUCUCACAUUGCAACGUCUCAUUGCCAUGGUAGAAGCCGAGCGAGCUUAUCAUCAGCGCGUGACUGAUAUCCUUGACAAGCUUCACACCCAGAUGGUUGCAGAACGGUUACAGGGAGAGUCGGGCGCGUCACAACAGCUAGAGCACUCCACGUCCCCUCCUCCAUACGAGGAAGUAAAAGAGAAUGGUGGCUACUCCAAUGUUUACCAAUCCAACUCCGACCGAAAGUCAUCGUUUUUCCUGGCCGAGGUGAUGCAUCCUUUUGAGGCGGAAUCCGAGGGAGAGCUUACGAUAGCUGUUGGUGAUUACGUCGUUGUUCGCCAGGUUUCUACGACGGGAUGGUCCGAGGGGGAGUGCCGAGGCAAAGCCGGAUGGUUUCCUUCGGCCUACGUCGAGCGUCGGCAGCGUGUUCCGGCGAGCAAGGUCCAACCGUGCUUGUGCCCCAUGUAGGCCUUCUCGAGGGAUCGAUAACUUUGAGUUUGGGAGAGCUUUUCUCGCGUGAUAAUCUCUUGGAAGAACAGACUUAAGAGAUGAUACUUCUGUGGUUACAAAAAUUAUAGCAGAGAAAAAAAGCAUACAAUGUACACAAAGCCAUAGCACGAAUUAUGCGCGGCCGCGAAAGAGACAUAAGAAACUUUGCCACGAGAGAGAUAAAUAUCGCCUGCCGUGAGACCAGAAGAACGCAUUUAAAAAA